GGAUUAUGUCAAUAUAGAGGAAGGUGAAGGCAUAUCUCAGUGGGAAUCACCUCAAGCCCUCGCCAUUUUACAACGUGAUAUUGAACAUGUUGAUCCAAACAAAGUGAAACUAUUCCUUUUGCCGGUUAUGGAGGAGGGUCACUACAGCAUAUACUGUAUCAACUUCAUACAUGACCGCAUAGAUGUUCUGGAUUCUAGCCCAGAAGACCACAAAGUUUACCAUCAAGUUCUAGGUGACCGAAUCAUUCACAGGCUCAAUCUCCUAUUCCAGUUGGCUACGAAUUCCACAAUAAAACAGUUUACUAGAUUCAAGCGUCCCAUCAUAGAUGUAUGUUCACAAACGCGCGCAAUUGAUUGCGGUUUCUUUGCACUUAAAUUCAUGGAGCUUUGGAAUGGUGAAUCUUUCCAUUUUCCAAUCCUAGCAGAAAACAUAUGGCAGUACAAGUCUCAGCUCCUCUUCUAUGGCAUCUACCAUCCGAUCAACAAGAUUGAGAAGCUCCCUGCUGGACUCGAAGCAUAUAGGCCUCGCCUGUGAUCCUCAUCAUUGAUCCUUGUUUUCCAACAAAAUGUGUACUAGUGAAUAAGUUCGAUGCCACUUGUUUUUCUACUGCCCACAAUAAAUUAUUUCAUGUUGGUUGUAUGGACACCAGAGGUU